rnacentral:snRNA from 1 species
GCAUGUGAGGGUGAUCUGGAUAUGACAUCUGCCAUGCUACUGAUUGUCAGAGUAUAUUCGUUUGGCUAGGUGUGUACUGUCUUCCUCCCUCCCCCUUGUCUCUAUGAAUGUCCCUCCAAAUGCUAUCCAUUUGGUUCCAGAGAAGCACCUACCGAGAUACAGGAGGACAUUUUGUCAUUGUUUGUCUGAUUUUCAGUCAAGGCUAUAGGCACAGCUGAGCUCCCUGCUAGAACCUCCAAACAAGUUCUCAAAUAGUCAUAGGUGUUUCAUAAAUUCAAGACCAUAUCAUGGCCAUUUAGUAUGAUUUCCCUGGAAAUUGGUG